UUAUUUUGCCUCUUUUUCUCCAAUUCCAAAAGUUUCAUGUACUGUGAACUUUUUCCCUCACAUCUCUCCUUAUAAAUCAAAAACCUAAUUUUUAUCUUUCUAAUAUUCCACUAAGGCAUAACUUAUUAUUAACUUACAUUAUUUAUUUUAAUUCUCCGUAAUUCUCAUUUUCCACCUCAAAAUCAUUAUUUCCUUUUAUUUUAUUAUUUCAUUUAAAUAAUAACACUAAAACAUUAUUUUAAUCAAUUAAAUAAUUCUAAAUAAAUCUACCAACC
rnacentral:lncRNA from 1 species